GGAGUCAAGUUGACGACCGCUGCCGCAGCUUUCGAGCCGCGGUGGAGGAAAGUCGGGACUUUAUAGGGCAGGCUGGCUGCUAACGGCAGCUCCGGGUAACCGGGGGAAAGUGCCACAGAAAAUAAACCGCUCUACCCUUUUUAAGUUCUUGAGGGCCUUUUUAAGUGCUUGAGGGCUGCAGGCUCGGAGAACUUAAAAAGGGUAGAGUAAGGGUGAAACGGCAGGGUAAGAGCCUACCGGCGGUGUGGUAACACACCGGCCUGGCAAACCCCAGUCAAUGCAAGGCCGAGUAAGGAGCAUACCGGGUUGACCUCUUUGAGGUUGAACCGGAGAACGCUGCCCGCGUUCGGCAUCCGGGUGAGCCGCUUGAGCUUAAUGGCGACAUUAGGCCCAGAUGAAUGGUCGUCGGGGAGAAAUCCUCAACAGAAUCCCGCUUAUGACUUGACUCCCUUG
rnacentral:RNase_P_RNA from 1 species